rnacentral:rRNA from 1 species
CACGCAGGCGGCCAUCUAAGUCAGAUGUGAAAGCCCACGGCUCAACCGUGGAACUGCAUUUGAUACUGGUUGGCUAGAGUACGGUUGGGGUGAGUGGAACUCCUGGUGGAGCGGUGAAAUGCGUAGAUAUCAGGAGGAACACCAGUGGCGAAAGCGGCUCACUGGACCGUAACUGACGCUGAGGCGCGAAAGCUAGGGUAGCGAACAGGAUUAGAUACCCUGGUAGUCC